rnacentral:rRNA from 1 species
AGUCUUAAUUCUUAGACAACUAGUAUGUUGGCUUAGAAGCAGCCAUCAUUUAAAGAGUGCGUAAUAGCUCACUAGUCUAGUUUUUUGGCACCGAAGGUGUAACGGGGCUAAGCUAAAUACCGAAUUUUUGGACUAUUUUUAUAGUGGUAGGCGAGUGUUGUAUUUUCUAUGAAGACUAAGUGUGAAUAUAGUUGGAGUUUAUACAAGUAAGAAUGCCGGCGUGAGUAACGUAUGAAAGUUAAAAUCUUUCUAGCCGAUUGAUCAAGGUUUCCAGGGGAAGGUUCAUCCUCCCUGGGUUAGUCGAACCUAAGAUGAGGCCGAAAGGCGUAGUCGAUGGACAGCGAGUUAAUAUUCUUGCACCAGUUUAAUUAGUGAUGGGUUGACAGAAGAGGUUAAUAUGGGCGGAUUAUUGGAUUUCCGUUUAAGAUUCAAGUGUUUAAAGUAGUAAAAUACGCUUUAUUUUGCAUGAGGGUUGAGUACGAACGAACUCUCCGGAUAGUAGUGAAGCCAUAGAUAUCAUAUUCUCUAGAAAAGACUCUAAACUUAUAAUUAUUCUGUCCGUACCUAGAACGAACACACGUGAUCAAGGAGAAUAUCCUAAGGCUAUCGAGAUAACUACAGUUAAGGAACUCUGCAAAAUAGCCCCGUAACUUAGGGAGAAGGGGUACCUAUUUUAUAGGUCACAGUAAAGAAUGAGGGGGGACUGUUUAACAAAAACAUAGCUUUAUGCUAAAUCGUAAGAUUAUGUAUAUGAGGCGACACCUGCCCAGUGCCAGAAGGUCAAUGAAGAAUGUUAGCUUAGCGAAGCAUUUAACUUAAG